GAUCCCGUGGUCCAACGGCGAAGACGCCUGGCCGACAUCCAGGAAAGUGCUGGUUCGAUUCCAGCCGGGAUCAC
rnacentral:tRNA from 1 species